ACGCUCGACACCUACGGGAAGCAGCAGUGGGGAAUAUUGCACAAUGGGGGAAACCCUGAUGCAGCGACGCCGCGUGAAGGAAGAAGUAUCUCGGUAUGUAAACUUCUAUCAGCAGGGAAGAAAAUGACGGUACCUGACUAAGAAGCCCCGGCUAACUACGUGCCAGCAGCCGUGGUAAUCUGAGCGGGCUGGCAAGGC
rnacentral:rRNA from 1 species